AAAAUAUCCUCAUAAGUUAGACGAUAAGAGGUACCUUCUAUGACUUUAAAUCUUAAGACUUCGAUUUAUCCUUUAUCUAAAAAUAAGGGUUAUGUUAAAAGUCAAAUAUGAUUUUAUUUAUAGUAGGUGGCACAGAAUCGGAGGCCCCGACUGUUUACUAAAAACACAACACAGUGCAAUCAUUAAUGUGGUAGUAUACUGUGUGAAAUUUGCCCAAUGCCAUUAAUAUAAAAGCGGUCAUGGGAAACUGUGACUAAUUGAAAAUCUGGUUAAUAGCGGUCUUAAUCAUGAGGAUCCUAAGGUAGCAAAAUAAAUUGGCCAUUAAAUGUGGUCCAGUAUCAAUAAUGUAACGAUGGCCUCACUGUCUCUACAACUUGCUCAGUGAAAUUGAAUUACGCGUGCAGAUGCGCGUUACCUCCAGUGGGACGGGAAGACCCUAUGCACUUUCU
rnacentral:rRNA from 1 species